rnacentral:rRNA from 1 species
ACUCCUACGGGAGGCAGCAGUGGGGAAUAUUGCACAAUGGGCGCAAGCCUGAUGCAGCCAUGCCGCGUGUGUGAAGAAGGCCUUCGGGUUGUAAAGCACUUUCAGUCGUGAGGAAGGUGGUAGUGUUAAUAGCACUAUCAUUUGACGUUAGCGACAGAAGAAGCACCGGCUAACUCCGUGCCAGCAGCCGCGGUAAUACGGAGGGUGCGAGCGUUAAUCGGAAUUACUGGGCGUAAAGCGCAUGCAGGUGGUUUGUUAAGUCAGAUGUGAAAGCCCGGGGCGUCAACCUCGGAAUAGCAUUUGAAACUGGCAGACUAGAGUACUGUAGAGGGGGUAGAAUUUCAGGUGUAGCGGUGAAAUGCGUAGAGAUCUGAAGGAAUACCGGUGGCGAAGGCGGCCCCUGGACAGAUACUGACACUCAGAUGCGAAAGCGUGGGAGCAAACAGGAUUAGAUACCCCUGGUAGACUGUCA